rnacentral:rRNA from 1 species
AUUGAACGCUGGCGGCAGGCCUAACACAUGCAAGUCGAACGAGUGGCGGACGGGUGAGUAAUGUAUGGGAAACUGCCUGAUGGAGGGGGAUAACUACUGGAAACGGUAGCUAAUACCGCAUACUAUCGGAUGUGCCCAGAUGGGAUUAGCUAGUUGGUGGGGUAAAGGCUCACCAAGGCGACGAUCCCUAGCUGGUCUGAGAGGAUGAACAGCCACACUGGAACUGAGACACGGUCCAGACUCCUACGGGAGGCAGCAGUGGGGAAUAUUGCACAAUGGGCGCAAGCCUGAUGCAGCCAUGCCGCGUGUAUGAAGAAGGCCUUCGGGUUGUAAAGUACUUUCAGCGGGGAGGCGUUACCCGCAGAAGAAGCACCGGCUAACUCCGUGCCAGCAGCCGCGGUAAUUC